rnacentral:rRNA from 1 species
CGUGGAGCAUGUGGCUUAAUUUGACUCAACGCGGGAAAUCUUACCAGGUCCGGACACACUGAGGAUUGACAGGAAGUAUCGUCUUUUGAAUUCUUUAAGGAUAUGUCGUUUUUAAUGACAUCUUUUAGAUGGAUGAUUCGUGUAAAUAUGCUAGUUCUUUCAUGAUUAUGUGAUAGGUGGUGCAUGGCCGUUCUUAGUUCGUGGAGUGAUCUGUCUGCUUAAUUGCGUUUCACUAAGGCCCCAAA